rnacentral:rRNA from 1 species
CGGACGGGUGAGUAAUGUCUGGGAAACUGCCUGAUGGAGGGGGAUAACUACUGGAAACGGUAGCUAAUACCGCAUAACGUCGCAAGACCAAAGAGGGGGACCCUCGGGCCUCUUGCCAUCGGAUGUGCCCAGAUGGGAUUAGCUAGUAGGUGGGGUAAAGGCUCACCUAGGCAACGAUCCCUAGCUGGUCUGAGAGGAUGACCAGCCACACUGGAACUGAGACACGGUCCAG